rnacentral:rRNA from 1 species
GAUGAACGCUGGCGGCGUGCCUAACACAUGCAAGUCGAACGGGGUUAUUUUGGAAAGUCCUUCGGGACUGGAAUCUAUAACCUAGUGGCGGACGGGUGAGUAACGCGUGAGCAAUCUGCCUUUAGGAGGGGGAGUAACAGUCGGAAACGGCUGCUAAUACCGCAUGAUGCAACGGAAUCGCAUGACUCUGUUGCCAAAGAUUUAUCGCUCUGAGAUGGCCUCGCGUCUGAUUAGCUAGUUGGCGGGGUAACGGCCCACCAAGGCGACGAUCAGUAGCCGGACUGAGAGGUUGGCCGGCCACAUUGGGACUGAGACACGGCCCAG